rnacentral:rRNA from 1 species
UGGGGAAUAUUGGACAAUGGGGGGAACCCUGAUCCAGCCAUGCCGCGUGUGUGAAGAAGGCCUUAUGGUUGUAAAGCACUUUAAGCGAGGAGGAGGCUCUCUUGGUUAAUACCCAAGAAGAGUGGACGUUACUCGCAGAAUAAGCACCGGCUAACUCUGUGCCAGCAGCCGCGGUAAUACAGAGGGUGCGAGCGUUAAUCGGAUUUACUGGGCGUAAAGCGUGCGUAGGCGGCUUUUUAAGUCGGAUGUGAAAUCCCCGAGCUUAACUUGGGAAUUGCAUUCGAUACUGGGAAGCUAGAGUAUGGGAGAGGAUGGUAGAAUUCCAGGUGUAUCGGUGAAAUGCGUAGAGAUCUGGAGGAAUACCGAUGGCGAAGGCAGCCAUCUGGCCUAAUACUGACGCUGAGGUACGAAAGCAUGGGGAGCAAACAGG